rnacentral:rRNA from 1 species
AGUGAACGCUGGCGGUAGGCCUAACACAUGCAAGUCGAACGGCAGCACAGUAAGAGCUUGCUCUUACGGGUGGCGAGUGGCGGACGGGUGAGGAAUACAUCGGAAUCUACUUUUUCGUGGGGGAUAACGUAGGGAAACUUACGCUAAUACCGCAUACGACCUACGGGUGAAAGCAGGGGAUCUUCGGACCUUGCGCGAUUGAAUGAGCCGAUGUCGGAUUAGCUAGUUGGCGGGGUAAAGGCCCACCAAGGCGACGAUCCAUAGCUGGUCUGAGAGGAUGAUCAGCCACACUGGAACUGAGACACGGUCCAGACUCCUACGGGAGGCAGCAGUGGGGAAUAUUGGACAAUGGGCGCAAGCCUGAUCCAGCCACACCGCGUGGGUGAAGAAGGCCUUCGGGUUGUAAAGCCCUUUUGUUGGGAAAGAAAAGCAGCAGGUUAAUACCCCGCUGUUCUGACGGUACCCAAAGAAUAAGCACCGGCUAACUUCGUG